rnacentral:rRNA from 1 species
UUCCGGUUGAUCCUGCCGGAGGUCACUGCUAUUGGGAUUCGACUAAGCCAUGCGAGUCGAGAGGGUUCGGCCCUCGGCAAACGGCUCAGUAACACGCGGAUAAUCUGCCCUUAGGUGGAGGAUAACCUCGGGAAACUGAGAAUAAUACUCCAUAGAUCUAGGAUGCUGGAAUGCACUUAGAUUGAAAGUUCCGGCGCCUAAGGAUGAGUCUGCGGACUAUCAGGUAGUAGUCAGGGUAAAGGCCUGACUAGCCUACGACGGAUACGGGUUGUGAGAGCAAUAACCCGGAGACGAUAUCUGAGACACGAUAUCGGGCCCUACGGGGCGCAGCAGGCGCGAAACCUUCACAAUGUGCGAAAGCGCGAUGAGGGGAUCCCAAGUGCUUGCUCCUAAGAGUAAGCUGUUUUUAUGUCUAAAACGCAUAGAGAGUAAGGGCUGGGUAAGACGGGUGCCAGCCGCCGCGGUAAUACCUGCAGCUCAAGUGGUGAUCAUUAUUAUUGGGCCUAAAACAUUCGUAGCCGGUUUGGUAAAUGCCUGGGUAAAUCGUGUAGCUUAACUAUACGAAUUCCGGGUAGACUGCCAAACUUGAGACCGGGAGAAGCUAGAGGUACUCCUUGGGUAGAGGUGAAAUUCUGUAAUCCUAGGGGGACCACCAGUGGCGAAGGCGUCUAGCUAGAACGGGUUUGACGGUGAGGAAUGAAGCCCUGGGGCGCAAACCGGAUUAGAUACCCGGGUAGUCCAGGGUGUAAACGCUGCUUGCUUGAUGUUAGUUGGGCUCCGAGCCCAAUUAGUGUCGGAGAGAAGUUGUUAAGCAAGCUGCCUGGGAAGUACGAUCGCAAGGCUGAAACUUAAAGGAAUUGGCGGGGGAGCACAGCAACGGGUGGAGCGUGCGGUUUAAUUGGACUCAACGCCGGA